CUUAGCUUGUCGGAGUGCUGCACAAACCUUGUUUGUCAGCUGAGACCGCCCUUGGGCGGAAUCCGUGGAACCUGAACAGGAUAAUACCUGCGGAGGGAAACAAGAGCGCUAAUAGC
rfam:Rheinheimera sp. A13L DRAFT__contig00009, whole genome shotgun sequence.